rnacentral:tRNA from 1 species
GGGCGGUUGGUACAGUGGCCGUGCACUGGACUCCAAACCCAGCUUAGGAAGGUUCGAAUCCUUCACCGCCUG